rnacentral:rRNA from 1 species
AGUAACACGUGGAUAACCUACCUAUAAGACUGGGAUAACUUCGGGAAACCGGAGCUAAUACCGGAUAAUAUAUUGAACCGCAUGGUUCAAUAGUGAAAGACGGUUUUGCUGUCACUUAUAGAUGGAUCCGCGCUGCAUUAGCUAGUUGGUAAGGUAACGGCUUGCCAAGGCAACGAUGCGUAGCCGACCUGAGAGGGUGAUCGGCCACACUGGAACUGAGACACGGUCCAGACUCCUACGGGAGGCAGCAGCC